rnacentral:rRNA from 1 species
GAUGAACGCUAGCGGCAGGCCUAAUACAUGCAAGUCGAACGGUAAAUAUUUUAGCAAUAGAAUAUGAGAGUGACGUACGGGUGCGUAACACGUAUGCAACCUACCUUGUACAGGAGGAUAGCUCGGGGAAACUCGGAUUAACCCUCCGUAAUAUCAUUGGAGGCAUCUUUGAUGAUUAAACUCAGGUGUACAAGCUGGGCAUGCGUCUGAUUAGCUAGUUGGUGGGGUAACGGCUCACCAAGGCGAUGAUCAGUAGGGGAACUGAGAGGUUGAUCCCCCACCACUGGCACUGAGAUACGGGCCAGACUCCUACGGGAGGCAGCAGUAGGGAAUAUUGGUCAAUGGAUGCAAGUCUGAACCAGCCAUGCCGCGUGCAGGAAGAAGGCCUUCUGGGUUGUAAACCGCUUUUGCCAGGGGCUAAAAAUGCCGGUGCGCCGGAAAACUUGAAAGUACCUGGUGAAUAAGCCACGGCUAACUACGUGCCAGCAGCCGCGGUAAUACGUAGGUGGCGAGCGUUGUCCGGAUUUAUUGGGUUUAAAAGGGUGCGUAGGCGGCCUAUUAAGUCAGUACUGAAAUAUCUCGGCUUAACCGAGAGGGUGGCAUUGAUACUGAUGGGCUUGAGUACAGAUGAGGUAGGCGGAAUUGACGGUGUAGCGGUGAAAUGCAUAGAUAUCGUCAAGAACACCUAUAGCGAAGGCAGCUUACUAAGCUGUAACUGACGCUGAGGCACGAAAAGUGUGGGGG